rnacentral:tRNA from 1 species
GCCUCGGUAGCUCAACGGUAGAGCAGUUGACUCUUAAUCAAUUGGUUGUGGGUUCGAAUCCCUCCCGGGGUACCA